GUUUUAUUCUAGAAAACAGCUCCUUGAACACAGUGAGCUGGCUUUUCACACAUUGCAGUUGUUAGCGUUUACUGCCCUUGCCAUUUUAAUUAUGAGGCUAAAGAUGUUUUUGACGCUGCACAUGUGUGUUAUGGCUUCCUUGAUAUGCUCUCGACAGCUCUUUGGCUGGCUUUUUCGCAGAGUUCGUUUUGAUAAUGUUAUCUUUGGCAUUCUAACAGUGAUGUCAAUACAAGGUUAUGCAAACCUCCGUAAUCAAUGGAGCAUAAUAGGAGAAUUUAAUAAUUUGCCUCAGGAAGAACUUUUACAGUGGAUCAAAUACAAUACCACAUCAGAUGCUGUCUUCGCAGGUGCCAUGCCUACAAUGGCAAGCGUCAAGCUGUCUACACUUCAUCCCAUUGUGAAUCAUCCACUUUACGAAGAUGCAGACUUGAGGCCUGGUUGCAGUAUGCUUGAAAUCUGUGAUGUGGAAGACCCUUCCAAUGCAGCUAACCCUCCCUUAUGUAGCGUCCUGCUCAAAGAUGCCAGGCCUUACUUCACCACAGUAUUUCAGAAUAGUGUGUACAGAGUAUUGAGGGUUAACUGAGAAGGAAACUACCCAUUACACUAUGGCACAAUGUGGUGUGUCAAAAACAAUCACCCUUUGGCUUAUUUACAUUAAUAAAAAUCACAAGCUUU
rnacentral:lncRNA from 1 species